rnacentral:rRNA from 1 species
CCUACGGGAGGCUGCAGUGGGGAAUAUUGCACAAUGGGGGAAACCCUGAUGCAGCGACGCCGCGUGAGUGAAGAAGUAACUCGGUAUGUAAAGCUCUAUCAGCAGGGAAGAAAAUGACGGUACCUGAGUCAGAAGCCCCGGCUAACUACGUGCCAGCAGCCGCGGUACUACGGCGGGGGCCAGCGUUAUCCGGAUUUACUGGGUGUAAAGGGAGCGUAGACGGCGGUGUAAGUCUGGAGUGAAGGGCUGGGGCUCAAACCCCGGACUGCUCUGGAAACUGUACGGCCGGAGUGCAGGAGAGGUAAGUGGAAUUCGUAGUGUAGCGGUGAAAUGCGUAGAUAUUAGGAGGAACACCAGUGGCGAAGGCGGCUUACUGGACUGUAACUGACGUUGAGGCUCGAAAGCGUGGGGAGCAAACAGGAUUAGAUACCCCGGUAGUC